rnacentral:rRNA from 1 species
AUUGAACGCUGGCGGCAGGCCUAACACAUGCAAGUCGAACGAUUGGCGGACGGGUUAGUAAUGUCUGGGAAACUGCCUGAUGGCGUGGGAUAACUCCUGGAAACGGUAGCUAAUACCGCAUACCCUCAGAUGUUCCCAGAUGGGAAUAGCUUGUUGGUGGGGUAAAGGCUCACCAAGGCGAUGAUCCCUAGCUGGUCUGAGAGGAUGACCAGGCACACUGGAACUGAGACAAGGCGCAGACUCCGACGGGAGGCAGCAGGGGGGAAUAUUGCACAAUGGGCGCAAGCCUGAUGCAGACAUGCCGCGUGUAUGAAGAAGGCCUUCGGGUGGUAAAGUACUUUCAGCGGGGAGGCGUUACCCGCAGAAGAAGCACCGGCUAACUCCGUGCCAGCCGCCGCGGUAAUAC